AAUAAAUAUUAAAUUAAUUAAUUUAAUAAAAAAUCAAUUCUAAAAUCUGUCAAUUCUAAUUAGUAAACUCAUAAAUAUUUGAUAUCAUUUUUAAUAUCUUUUGAGGAGGGAAUUCCAGAUCUGUAACCUUCCUAAUUCAAUCACCACCAUUGCAGGCUCCAUGGCCAAUUAUCUUAUUGUUUAUCUCCUUUUUUUUUUUCUUCAUCAAAAUUGUCGCUUUGAAAAGAGGCUUCAUAUUUGAUGGGCUAAAAACCCGGGAAUGGUGUGAGAGAAAGGGAGACUUUGGUGCAAAUGAUGGUGGAGUUGUUUGUCACAAUCACUUAUUUCUAUCUUCUAAGGUUAAGGAAAUUGAAUCCUCCUCUCUUCAAUCUCGACUCUCAAGAAACCAAUUUCACCUCUUUACUCCUAAGACAUCAACAAGCUCCAAAAGGUGCUCAUCA
rnacentral:misc_RNA from 1 species